AUUGGACUUUUCCUGCUUCACCAGUAACUACAAAAGACACCAGAGAGGUCUUUAAUCAAUACAGCUUUCAUAGAGAAACAGAACAUAUAGCUCCUAUGGCUAGUAUGGAAAUUGGCAAUAAAGAAGAAAAUAUUUUAGAACAAGAAAGUAAAGAAUG